UUACAUUUUAACCUUGAGAAUUUAGAAAUAAGAGAUUUUGUACUUCUCUCUACUUCACAAAAAAUAUCAAAUGAAAAUAUAUACCAAAAUGCCAAUAAAAUUUCAGUUGCCUUUUCAGAACUCGCAAAGAGUGUCAUGAGCCUAGGGUUUUAGCACUCUUCAACGCAGGAGUAACACGAUUGAAAAACCCUAACAGUGGGAGCACACGCAUAAAACCUUUUUUGCCAAAUUAGCAUUUUCACGGUCAUCAACAUGUCCGUCGCCGCCGCUAGAUCCGUCUUCCGAUCAGCCUCAGUCCGUAAUGGUGCGGCAAGAUUAGCUUCUGGAGUGAAAGCCGCUCGAUCUCCCUUUCGUAUGUCCACCAGAAGACCACUUUCACAUCGCAUCUUCAGGUAACUAAAUAAACAUUAACACAUAUACAUACACACAAGCCCAAUUAUACAUGUAAACUGACAUUUAUCUUCAUUUUCUUUUGAAGUUGUCCUGCUGAAAUGAGUUCGAUGCAACCCUUCCAUACUGCGACUGCUUCGGCAUUGAUGACUUCGAUGCUCUCUCUCUCUCGCCGUGGUUACGGUUGGCUUCCUGAAGGUAGUAAACUUUCUAAAUUUUGGCUUAAUUUCGAUUUUUAAGUCCUUGAAAUUUUUGAUGAUUUUUCUAUGGUUCAAUUGAUGUUAUUUGGGAUUGCGAAUCUAUUUGUGUUCCUAAGCUGAAAUUUUUUAGCACUUAGUUUUGUGCUUGAAUGCUGGUAUUCUAUAAGAGUAGAAAUUUUUUAAUGUACAAGUGAUUGAUAAUGUGGGGAGGACAUGGUCAACUUUCAAUCCAAUUUUGAGUUCUUUUAGUUAUUAGCUUCUUGUUUUCUAGUACUCUGAAGUGGUUAGUAUAAAUAAUUCUCCUGAACUAUUAAAAUUGGUGAAGAGACUGUGUUCAUCCAUCUAGCAUAAUUAAAACUCACUCUUACAGGAAAUCUAAAUAAUGUUUUGAAUUCUUCUUUAUUAUGUUGUUUUUUCAAGUUAUGUUUUUAGUCAAAAUACUUCUUCCUAGUCUUUGUUUCAAGUUAUUUUCAUUUCAUGGCAGCCUGAGUCCAAUAAUCAGUACCUGACUGGGAAGAAUUGUGCCUGUUCAAGAAUAUUUUAUAGAUGUAUCAAUAAAAUUGACCAUAUAAAGAGUUUUCAAAGUUACAUUAAGAAAAAUUUGGUACCCAUGAAUGUUACAUCUAAUCUUGCUAUAUAGAAAGUUUUUCAGGUUACCCCAAGAAAUCUGGUAUUAGGAUUAGUACAUCUUGUUUUGGGUAAUCACAACCAGGAGUUACUGGGUUUUUUUUUUUAAUCGCCUUCAUACUAAACUCCCAUCCUGACAACUGUUACUGUUUAUUCUUGCAAAGUUAAUAUAUACUACUAGCUGGAAGGGGCCGUACUAGAUAGUUUUCACGUCAGAGAGUACUUUAAUCAUUUCAUCUCAUGAAAUUCUUAUUCCGAUGAAUUACAGAGGAAUUAGGGAUUUCCUUUUAUGUCCUGUUUACUUCAACACUUUCCUGUACUUCAAAGUUGUAGUUUUUGCUGAAUAGGUCGCCUAACCAUUGGGUUUUGUCUUGAUUUAGGUAUCUAGCAAAAUUUUGUAGACCUUCCUUGAUGUCCUGUUUCUCCUUUCAAGUAUUUGGUAAGUUAAAAUUGCUGGAUAUUAUCUAAAACACCCUUAGAUAUUUAAGGAAUUUAAAACCUCCCCUUCAGUAACUUUUUAAUUUCUGAAACAGAGAUAUCAGGCUCAACGAAAUAACACUAUUGUAUUAUUUAUAUGUUAAUUCCUAUUCCCCCUCCCCUUUAUCCUGGAUGGACACUUUCUGUCCCUAAACCUGGUUGAGUGUCAUAUGAUGAUACCCUAUUGUUUGCUUUUGUUCUUCUGUUUCCAGCUGAAGAGUCAGUUUCCAUCCCCAUUUCCUAUUUUUCUUGUUUUAAUAAAAUAGCACAUGCUUCAUUGUUUCCUGUUGUAGGCGUUGACAAGACUAGAUGAAGAUGGAGAUUCAACUAUGGAAUGAUUUGGAUUUGUUAUGUCUUGAAGCUUUUAAAUUCUUAGGUCGCUUCUUCAAUAGUAUAGGCUCGCUGGCUAUAUUUAAAGAUUAAUAAUGAAACAUGAAUUAAUGAUGUGUAGAUUGAAAGCUUUAAUAUACAAUUGCUCUUUCGUAGAUCUUGUUAAAGGAUACAUUGGUUUAUAUGAUUCUGUUUUCACCUUUGUUUGAAUUUGUUUUGUGUCCUUUGUAUAAUUUGAUUGAUUUUUCCUAUUUUCUUCGUAUUCUGGAAUCAUCUUUGGUAGCUUUUGUAAUUGAUGGACAGACUGGCACCAUGUGCUCUGUUUUCUUUGUGUGCUUUUUCUGGGUCAGUAUAUAUAUAUAUAUAUAUAUAUAUAUAUAUAUAUAUAUAUAGGGCUAUAUGUAUAUACACAGCUGUGUAUUACAUAGUCGGGAUAUGGCGACGGGUUUUUUGGGCUAUGACGACAGUUCAGCCGUCGCUGAGCCCAGGAUAGCUAUGGCUACGGGUGAAAUCGUCGCUAUAGCCCAAAAAACCGUCGACAUAGCCGAUUGUGUACUACACAGUUGUGUAUAUACAUUUUUCCCAUAUAUAUAUAUAUAGUGUGUAUGGCUAAUUCUUGACUCGUAUUUAAGUUGAGUAUCAUUUAGUAAUCAUACCUAUUAAUUGUUAUCUUUAUGUAAUCAGCUUGCAAUGAUGAUGUGUGAUGACUUUUCAGAGGAUUCGAGCUGUAUUUUAUUUACAAAUUCCUACAUUCUAAGACUGUGCCAGGGAGUAACUUAGAGACUCUGAAUGAGCUGCAGAAUAGCCAAAAUGUUCUCCUGAGCUUCAUAAGAUGGAUGUUUAACUAAUCCUGUUUUGUUACAUCAAGACAUGCGGAUUUAGCUUUAUUUGUCUGCUGUUUGAUACAAGAUUUACUUUAAACAUUUGGUUAUGGUUCUAUUUGUAUUAGUCUCCAUUGUUAUUAAUGGUAAUAAGAUUUGUCAAAACAUAAUACUGAUUUUAUUGCAUAUCAAUCUGCUUGCAACAAUUUAGGAUGAAUGCUCAAGGGACUAGCAAAGCUUUUGUUUAAAACUCAUGUGUUUCUUGGGUGUGAUAUGCCUAUUUUUCAUGACAUUUCCCCCUUGGGUAUGAGAUGCCUAUUUUUCAUGUCAUUUCCC
rnacentral:lncRNA from 1 species